UACGUAGGGUGCAAGCGUUGUCCGGAAUUAUUGGGCGUAAAGAGCUUGUAGGCGGUUUGUCGCGUCUGCUGUGAAAACUCAGGGCUUAACCCUGAGCUUGCAGUGGGUACGGGCAGACUAGAGUGCGGUAGGGGAGACUGGAAUUCCUGGUGUAGCGGUGAAAUGCGCAGAUAUCAGGAGGAACACCCGGUGGGCGAAGGCGAGUCCCUGGACA
rnacentral:rRNA from 1 species